GUUAGGAAUAUUGGACAAUGGGCGCAAGCCUGAUCCAGCCAUGCCGCGUGAGUGAUGAAGGCCUUCGGGUUGUAAAGCUCUUUAGCCGAUGAUUAUAAUGACUGUAGUCGGAAAAUAAGCCCCGGCUAACUUCGUGCCAGCAGCCGCGGUAAUACGAAGGGGGCGAGCGUUAUUCGGAAUCACUGGGCGUAAAGCGUGCGUAGGCGGCUUUGCAAGUUGGGAGUGAAAGCCCAGGGCUCAACCCUGGAAUUGCUCUCAAAACUGCAAGGCUCGAAUUCGGGAGAGGAUAGCGGAAUUGUCAGUGUAGCAGUGAAAUGCGUAGAUAUUGACAGGAACACCAGUGGCGUAAGCGGCUAUCUGGACCGACAUUGACGCUGAGGCACGAAAGCGUGGGGAUCAAACAGGAUUAGAAACCCCGGUAGUCC
rnacentral:rRNA from 1 species